UUGUGAGGCCCCAUGUGGAGCACUGCGUCCAGGCCUGGGGCCCCCAGCACAGGAAGGAUGUGGAGUUCUUGGAGGAGGUCCAGAGGAGGGCCACUAAGAUGGCCAGAGGGCUGGAGCACCUCUCCUGUGAGGAAAAGGUUGAGGGAACUGGGCUUGUUCAGCUUGAGAAGAGAAGGCUCCGCAGAGACCUCAUGGUGUCCUUCCUGUACUUGAAGGGAGCGUAUAAACAGGAGGGGGAAGGGUUGUUUACAAGGGUGGACAGUGAUGGAACAAGGGGGAACGGUUGUAAACAGAGACAGGGGAGGUUUACGUUAGAUAUGAGGAGGAAGUUUUUCACCCAGGGGGUGAUGACGCACUGGAACAGGUUGCCCAAGGAGGCUGUGGAUGCCCCAUCCCUGGAGGCAUUCAAGGCCAGGCUGGAUGUGGCUCUGGGCAGCCUGGUCUGGCGGUUGGCAACCCUGCCCACAGCAGGGGGUUGAAACUGGAUGAUCAUUGUGGUCCUUUUCAACCCAGGCCAUUCUAUGAUCCUCUGAUAUGAUUCUAGGACUGCUUCCAGCCUUUUGGGCUGUGACUUCAGGCCCUUGGGCCGAUGCCGGCCUUGCUGACAGUGGCUUCAGGCCCCAGGGCAUGUGCUGGCCCUUUGGGCUGUGGCUGUAGGCUGCAGGGCCAGUGCUGCCCUAUGUGGCUGUGGCUUUAGGCCCCAGGGCUGGUGCCAGACUCACUGGAUGUGUCUGUGGCUUUAGGCCCUGGAGCUGGUGCUGGCCUCUCAAUGCCAUGAGUCUGGCUUUCUGCCCCCGGGCUGUGCUGGCCUCUCUGCCUCUGGCUGUGGCUGUAGGCCCAGGGCUGGUGCUGACCUCUCAGGCUGAGGAUGAGUCUUCAGGAUGCAGCGCCAGUGCAGGCCUGCCUGCCUGCGGCUUCAGGCCCCGGGGUCUGUUUAGGCAUCUCUGGCUGUGGCUUUAGGCGCUGGGGUCGGUGCUGGCCUCUCUUGUGGUGGCUUUAGACCACAGGGACCUCAUGCCUCUCUGGCUGAGGCUUUAGUCCCCGGGGGCUUUAGUCCCCGGUGGCUUUAGUCCCCGG
ensembl:lncRNA